GCUUAACACAUGCAAGUCGAGCGGGCAUAGCAAUAUGUCAGCGGCAGACGGGUGAGUAACGCGUGGGAACGUACCUUUUGGUUCGGAACAACUGAGGGAAACUUCAGCUAAUACCGGAUAAGCCCUUACGGGGAAAGAUUUAUCGCCGAAAGAUCGGCCCGCGUCUGAUUAGCUAGUUGGUGAGGUAAUGGCUCACCAAGGCGACGAUCAGUAGCUGGUCUGAGAGGAUGAUCAGCCACAUUGGGACUGAGACACGGCCCAAACUCCUACGGGAGGCAGCAGUGGGGAAUAUUGGACAAUGGGCGCAAGCCUGAUCCAGCCAUGCCGCGUGAGUGAUGAAGGCCCUAGGGUUGUAAAGCUCUUUUGUGCGGGAAGAUAAUGACGGUACCGCAAGAAUAAGCCCCGGCUAACUUCGUGCCAGCAGCCGCGGUAAUACGAAGGGGGCUAGCGUUGCUCGGAAUCACUGGGCGUAAAGGGUGCGUAGGCGGGUCUUUAAGUCAGGGGUGAAAUCCUGGAGCUCAACUCCAGAACUGCCUUUGAUACUGAAGAUCUUGAGUUCGGGAGAGGUGAGUGGAACUGCGAGUGUAGAGGUGAAAUUCGUAGAUAUUCGCAAGAACACCAGUGGCGAAGGCGGCUCACUGGCCCGAUACUGACGCUGAGGCACGAAAGCGUGGGGAGCAAACA
rnacentral:rRNA from 1 species